AGAGUUUGAUCCUGGCUCAGGAUGAACGCUAGCUACAGGCUUAACACAUGCAAGUCGAGGGGCAGCAUGGUCUUAGCUUGCUAAGGCUGAUGGCGACCGGCGCACGGGUGAGUAACGCGUAUCCAACCUGCCUUACACUCUUGGACAGCCUUCUGAAAGGGAGAUUAAUACAAGAUGUUAUCAUGAGUAAGCAUUUUCGCAUGAUUAAAGGUUUACCGGUGUAAGAUGGGGAUGCGUUCCAUUAGAUAGUAGGCGGGGUAACGGCCCACCUAGUCUUCGAUGGAUAGGGGUUCUGAGAGGAAGGUCCCCCACAUUGGAACUGAGACACGGUCCAAACUCCUACGGGAGGCAGCAGUGAGGAAUAUUGGUCAAUGGACGAGAGUCUGAACCAGCCAAGUAGCGUGAAGGAUGAAGGUUCUAUGGAUUGUAAACUUCUUUUAUACGGGAAUAAACGAAUCCACGUGUGGAUUUUUGCAUGUACCGUAUGAAUAAGGAUCGGCUAACUCCGUGCCAGCAGCCGCGGUAAUACGGAGGAUCCGAGCGUUAUCCGGAUUUAUUGGGUUUAAAGGGAGCGUAGAUGGGUUGUUAAGUCAGUUGUGAAAGUUUGCGGCUCAACCGUAAAAUUGCAAUUGAUACUGGCAGUCUUGAGUACAGUUGAGGUAGGCGGAAUUCGUGGUGUAGCGGUGAAAUGCUUAGAUAUCACGAAGAACUCCGAUUGCGAAGGCAGCUUACUAACCUGUAACUGACAUUGAUGCUCGAAAGUGUGGGUAUCAAACAGGAUUAGAUACCCUGGUAGUCCACACGGUAAACGAU
rnacentral:rRNA from 1 species